rnacentral:rRNA from 1 species
GAUGAACGCUAGCGGCAGGCUUAAUACAUGCAAGUCGAGGGGCAGCAUGACUGUAGCAAUACAGUUGAUGGCGACCGGCAAACGGGUGCGGAACACGUACAGCACCUUCCUUCGAGCGGGGAAUAGCCCAGAGAAAUUUGGAUUAAUACCCCAGAGUACAACGGAGUGGCAUCACUUUGUUGUUAAAGAUUUAUCACUUGAAGAUGGCUGUGCGACUGAUUAGGUAGUUGGCGGGGUAACGGCCCACCAAGCCUGCGAUCAGUAACUGGUGUGAGAGCACGACCAGUCACACGGGCACUGAGACACGGGCCCGACUCCUACGGGAGGCAGCAGUAAGGAAUAUUGGUCAAUGGACGAAAGUCUGAACCAGCCAUGCCGCGUGGAGGAUGAAGGUCCUCUGGAUUGUAAACUUCUUUUAUAUGGGACGAAAAAAGGGUUUUCUAACUCGUCUGACGGUACCAUAUGAAUAAGCACCGGCUAACUCCGUGCCAGCCGCCGCCGUAAUAC